rnacentral:rRNA from 1 species
UACGUAGGGGGCAAGCGUUGUCCGGAUUUAUUGGGCGUAAAGAGCGUGUAGGCGGUGUGUCGCGUCGGCCGUGAAAACCUGCAGCUUAACUGUGGGCUUGCGGUCGAUACGGGCAUCACUGGAGUUCGGCAGGGGAGACUGGAAUUCCUGGUGUAGCGGUGAAAUGCGCAGAUAUCAGGAGGAACACCGGUGGCGAAGGCGGGUCUCUGGGCCGAUACUGACGCUGAGGAGCGAAAGCGUGGGGAGCGAACAGG